CUUACACAUGCAGUCGAACGAUGAAGCCCUUCGGGGUGGAUUAGUGGCGAACGGGUGAGUAACACGUGGGCAAUCUGCCCUGCACUCUGGGACAAGCCCUGGAAACGGGGUCUAAUACCGGAUAUGACCGUCCAUCGCAUGGUGGAUGGUGUAAAGCUCCGGCGGUGCAGGAUGAGCCCGCGGCCUAUCAGCUAGUUGGUGAGGUAGUGGCUCACCAAGGCGACGACGGGUAGCCGGCCUGAGAGGGCGACCGGCCACACUGGGACUGAGACACGGCCCAGACUCCUACGGGAGGCAGCAGUGGGGAAUAUUGCACAAUGGGCGAAAGCCUGAUGCAGCGACGCCGCGUGAGGGAUGACGGCCUUCGGGUUGUAAACCUCUUUCAGCAGGGAAGAAGCGAAAGUGACGGUACCUGCAGAAGAAGCGCCGGCUAACUACGUGCCAGCAGCCGCGGUAAUACGUAGGGCGCAAGCGUUGUCCGGAAUUAUUGGGCGUAAAGAGCUCGUAGGCGGCUUGUCACGUCGGUUGUGAAAGCCCGGGGCUUAACCCCGGGUCUGCAGUCGAUACGGGCAGGCUAGAGUUCGGUAGGGGAGAUCGGAAUUCCUGGUGUAGCGGUGAAAUGCGCAGAUAUCAGGAGGAACACCGGUGGCGAAGGCGGAUCUCUGGGCCGAUACUGACGCUGAGGAGCGAAAGCGUGGGGAGCGAACAGGAUUAGAUACCCUGGUAGUCCACGCCGUAAACGGUGGGCAC
rnacentral:rRNA from 1 species